rnacentral:rRNA from 1 species
AACGAACGCUGGCGGCAUGCCUAACACAUGCAAGUCGAACGAGACCUUCGGGUCUAGUGGCGCACGGGUGCGUAACGCGUGGGAACCUGCCCUUAGGUUCGGAAUAACUCCCCGAAAGGGGUGCUAAUACCGGAUAAUGUCUUCGGACCAAAGAUUUAUCGCCUUUGGAUGGGCCCGCGUUGGAUUAGCUAGUUGGUAGGGUAAAAGCCUACCAAGGCGACGAUCCAUAGCUGGUCUGAGAGGAUGAUCAGCCACACUGGGACUGAGACACGGCCCAGACUCCGACGGGAGGCAGCAGUGGGGAAUAUUGGACAAUGGGCGAAGGCCUGAUCCAGCAAUGCCGCGUGAGUGAUGAAGGCCUUAGGGUUGUAAAGCUCUUUUACCCGGGAUGAUAAUGACAGUACCGGGAGAAUAAGCUCCGGCUAACUCCGUG